ACUUUUAAAGGAUAGAAGUAAUCCAAUGGUUUUAGGUACCAUUCCC
rnacentral:tRNA from 1 species